GAUGAACGCUGGCGGCGUGCUUAAUACAUGCAAGUCGAGCGAAGCGGGGACGGGUGAGUAACACGUGUAUGACCUCCUUUAAGACUGGGAUUACCUCGGGAAACCGGAGCUUAUCCCGAUUCUUUUAGAUGGUUCCGCACUGGAUUAGCUAGUUGGUAGGGUAACGGCUUAUCCAGGCAACGAUCCUUAGCCGACCUGAGAGGGGGAUCGGCCACACUGGAACUGAGACAGUGUCCAGACUCCUACGGGAGGCAGCAGUAGGGAAUCUUCCUCAAUGGGCUAAAGCCUGACGGAGCAACGCCGCGUGAGUGAUGAAGGUCUUCGGAUCGUAAAGCUCUGUUAUUAGGGAGGCGGUACCUAAUCAGAAAGCCACGGCUAACUACGUGCCAGCAGCCGCGGUAAUUC
rnacentral:rRNA from 1 species